CGAUCAUAUAUAUGUGUGGUUGUGGUUUAACCAAAAAAGAUUCAUAUAUGUGUGGUGCACAAGUACAAAUCCCACUUUCUUAAAAAAGAAAUGAAUCACUUGUGUGACCUUCAAGAUGUGAUCUGACCUUCAAUAUUUUACGUUCAGAUUGAAAGAUCGUCGAUCAUGUAUCAAAUUGAGCUCCAUCCAACAAUAUUCGUAAAAUUGAACACACUAAAAUAUAAGACAACUCAAUACAAGGAGGAAGAAAGCAACAACGAGACUAGUUAAAAAUUAAUUUACAAGCUCUUUCAGCUUCUGAACAAACCUGUCAAUAUAGCCAUCCAUAAACCCGGGAGUUGACAGUGUUUCCCUCCACUUUGCAUGGUUCUUCUUCACCAUAACACCCACUUCAUUGUCCUUAUCCAUAACGGUUGUAAUGGUUUUGCUCAAGCUCUCUUUUGAAAACCAUCCAUUUUCUUUUCUCUCUACCUCCACAGCAACUUUGAGAUCUUUAACCAGUAUCUUGGUGUUUAAUAUAUGGUCAGCACCGUGUGGAACCAGCACAAUCUGAUUUUUACUCAUCAAAGACUCCCACAAUGCCCCAAAGCCACAAUGGCUCACAAAGCACCCAACUGAUGGGUGGCUCAAAAUCAAUAUCUGUUGCACCCAACCACCAAACACCACCCCUCUCCCUUUAACUCUUUCUUCAAACCCUUGUGGCAAUGCCUCUUCAAUUGUAGCACAACCCACAGGUGGUUUUAGAGCUACGAAAAAUGGCAGCCCAGUUAGUUCAAACCCUAACACAAUGUUAAAUGUAAUACAUUUGUAUCAGUUGUUAAAGUAGAGUUGUGUCUCUUGAUGAAAAGUUAUGUUUAGGAAGAGUUGUAUCUCUUUAGAAGUUAAGAGUUAUGUCUGUAUAUGAAAGGGUCUGAGUGUUAUUAUAUAUAGCCAAUGAUAUAGGCUGCUGGUAUAUAUCUAAGAAGUUAAUAAAAAUCAGUUUGUCUAAUUCCCUAUUUUAGAAACACUCUCUGCCUCACUUUAUAUUUCCAUCAUACACUUCAGUUUUGUGAUCAUUCCUCCAACAAAUUUGGUACCAGAGCAGUAUUUGAUCUUAUCGCUACCGCUGUGAUUAGCAAUGGCAUCAAGUUCAAAUUCCUCUACCAUUGGGAAUAUCCAGAAUCUAAUGCCUAUUUUUUAUGGUGAGAAUUAUGAGUAUUGGAGUGUUCAAAUGAAGACUCUGUUCAUCUCCCAGGAUCUUUGGGAUAUUGUUGAAGAUGGGUAUGAGGAGCAAGAAAUAUCAAAAGCAGGAAAGGAAACGCAAGAAAAGCAGCAGACUUACAAGGAAAAUAAGAAAAAAGAUGCCAAGGCGUUGUUUCUAAUUCAACAAGGAGUAAGCAAAAAUCUUUUUCCAAGAUUACUUCCAGCAACAACAUCAAAGCAGGCUUGGGAAAUUCUCAAAAUUGAGUUCAAAGGUUCAGAAAAAGUUAUCUCAAUCAAACUGCAAUCCUUAUGGCGGGAAUUUGAUAACUUACUUAUGAAAGACACUGAAUCCAUUCAAGUAUUCUUCACAAAGGUUUCUGGGAUUGUGAACCAAAUCAAAUGUUAUGGGGACACUAUUCCAGACAAGAAAAUCGUAGAGAAAACUUUACGAAGUCUUCCGCCAAAAUAUGAUCAUGUCGCUGCUGCAAUAGAAGAAUCAAAAGAUUUAUCUACACUUUCUUUACAUGAAUUAAUUGGUUCAUUGGAAGCACAUGAAAAAAGAAUCAACAGAUCCACAGAACAAUCUGUGGAGCAAGCUUUCCAGUCCAAGGUGAAUUCGAAAGAGAAAGAAGACAAACAAAAAGGAGGACAAUUCCAGAAAUCUCAAAAUGGGAGAAACAAAAAUUUUGGGCGUAGAAACUACAACAAAGGAGGCAAUAGUUUCAAUAAUCAACAACAAGGCAGCAGUCUCAAUCAUCAAGAAGGAAGCAACAGUUCCAAUAAUCAACAAGGAAGCAGCAAUUCAAAUAAUCAAAAUGGAAGAUCAUCCAUUCAAUGCUAUGUUUGCAACAAAUAUGGGCAUAAAAGUGCAGAUUGCCGAUACAAAUGUACCCGAUGCAGGAUACCCAAUCAUUCACAAAGAGACUGCAGAUAUCAGAAAAACAAUGAAGCAAAUUUUACGGAGAACAAUGACUCUCAAGAGCAAUUAUUUUAUACAUGUUUCAGUUCUCAUAAAGAUUCCCAAGAUGUUUGGUACGUGGAUAGCGGAUGUAGUAAUCAUAUGACAGGAAAUAAGCAAUGCUUUGUCAAGUUAGAAGAAAAAGUGAACUCACAAGUCAAGCUUGGUGAUGGAAAACUACACAACGUGGAAGGCAAGGGUAUCAUUUCUGUGCAAACAAAAGGAGGUAUUCCAAAACUUGUCUAUGAUGUGCUGUAUGUUCCUAAUUUGGCUCAAAAUUUACUAAGUGUUGGACAACUUUUGCAAAGAGGAUUCUUGGUGAAAUUUGAAGAUGAUUAUUGUGUUAUUUCUGAUAAAAAGAAUAACACUCUGAUGGCAAAGAUAAAAAUGACAGCAAACAAAGUUUUUCCGCUGCUGAUGACAUCAAAAGAAAAUUUGGCUUUAGAAGCAGAAAAAGUUGAUGGGUCAUUGUUAUGGCAUUUAAGAUAUGGGCAUUUGAAUCAAAGAAGCUUGCAGCUGUUACACCAGAAAAGUAUGGUGGUUGGACUUCCCUCCAUUCACUCUGAAAAGGAAAUAUGUGAGGGCUGUAUCUUUGGAAAAUUCCAUCGAUUACCAUUCUCACAAUCAUCUUGGAGAGCAAAAGCCCCUCUUGAAUUGGUACAUGCAGAUAUUUGCGGACCAACUCGUACACCAUCCUUCAAUAACAAAAGGUACUUCAUUCUAUUCGUAGAUGAUUUCUCAAGGAUGAUGUGGGUAUAUUUCUUAGAACAAAAGUCAGAAGCAUUUUCUGUUUUCAAGCAAUUCAAAGCUUUUGGAGAAAAUCAAAGUGGUCACAAUUUGAAGGUGUUAAGAACAGAUCGUGGUGGAGAGUUUACAUCAAAUGAAUUUUCUGAAUAUUGCAAAAGCAAUGGUAUUAAAAGAGAGUUGACAGCAAGGUACACCCCACAGCAAAAUGGAGUUGCCGAACGAAGAAAUCGAACCAUUGUCGAGAUGGCAAGAAGCAUGUUGAAAGCAAAGAGUCUGCCAAAUACAUUUUGGGCUGAAGCAAUUCAUACAGCAGUUUUUAUUCUUAAUCGGUCUCCAACCAAAGCAGUCAAAGAUAAGACUCCUUUUGAAGCAUGGCAUCGUUUUAAACCAAAGGUGGAUUUCUUCAAGAUUUUUGGGUGCACUGCAUAUGCACAUAUCCCUUCUCAAAAGAGAGAAAAAUUUGAUGAGAAAGGUGAGAAAUAUAUUUUUGUGGGAUAUAGUGAUCAGUCCAAAGCUUACAGAUUAAUUGAUCCAAGAACCAAAAGUUUGGUAAUUUCUAGAGAUGUUAUUUUUGAUGAACUCAAAGCUUGGAAAUGGGAGAAUUAAAAUAUUGAAGUGCCAAGAUUUUUUGAGGAACCAGAUUCAUCACAUUCAGAAGAAACUCAGUUCCUUCAAAGUCCAAUUCCAAGUGCAGGGACAGCUGAUCCUAGUUCACCAGAUUCAACUCCUAGACUAAACGCAAGAACGCGUUCAUUGGCAGAUAUAUAUGAGUCAUGUGAUCUUGCUUUGAGUGCUUUGGAGCCUCAAAAAUUCGAGGAAGCUGUAAAAGAAAAUAUUUGGCAAGAUGCAAUGGAUGAGGAAAUAAGAGUUAUCAAGAAAAAUAGAACAUGGGAACUUGUUGAUCGACCCAAAUCAAAAGAUAUCAUUGGACUUAAAUGGGUCUACAAGACAAAGUUUAAUGAAGAUGGCUCAAUCCAAAAGCAUAAGGCUCGUUUGGUUGCAAAAGGAUAUUCUCAACAACCAGGAAUUGAUUUUAAUGAGACGUUUGCUCCGGUAGUUCGAAUGGAGACUAUAAGAACUGUUUUGGCUUUGGCUGCACAACUGAAGACAAAGGUUUAUCAAUUGGAUGUCAAAUCUGCAUUUUUAAAUGGAGAACUUGAAGAAGAGGUUUAUGUGGAGCAACCUCAAGGUUAUGUUGAGAAAGGGAGGGAAGAUAAAGUUUAUCGCCUCCGUAAAGCCUUAUAUGGCUUAAAGCAAGCGCCGAGAGCCUGGAACAACAAAAUUGAUCACUAUUUUCAGCAAAAUGGAUUUACAAGAAGCUUAAGUGAGCCAUCACUUUAUCUCAAGAAAGAAGGUACACAUGAUUUUCUGAUUUUGUGCCUCUAUGUUGAUGAUUUGAUUUAUACAAGCACAAAUCCAAGGAUGGCAGAAGUUUUCAAGAAGAACAUGAUGAAGGAAUAUGAGAUGACAGAUUUAGGCACUAUGAGAUAUUUUCUUGGUAUACAAGUUCAACAAUCAGAUGAGGGAAUAUUUAUUUCUCAAGGGAAGUAUGCUGAAAAUCUGUUGAAAAAAUUCAAUAUGUUGAAGAGCAAGCCAAUGGAUACUCCAAUGGCAAUUAAUUUGAAGCUUACAAGUAACGAUGGAGCACCUAAGUUUGAUGCAUCCAUAUAUAAAAGUGUGGUUGGUUCAUUAAUUUAUCUUACAAAUACAAGGCCCGAUAUUGUUCAUGCUGUAAGUGUGGUAUCUAGAUUCAUGAGUGAUCCAAGUAAUCACCAUUUUGCUGCAGUAAAAAGAAUACUCAGAUACAUACAAGGAACCAAGGGAUAUGGUAUUAGAUACACACAAGAGAAGAAAGCACACUUAGUUGGCUACACAGACAGUGAUUGGGCAGGUGCAAUUGAUGAUAGAAAGAGCACCUCUGGACAUGUGUUUUUCUUGGGAAGUAAAGUUAUAUCAUGGUCGUCGAAGAAGCAAAGUACUGUGGCAUUAUCAACAACCGAAGCAGAGUAUAUUUCAGCCACAAGUGCAGCAUGUGAAGCAGUUUGGAUUAGAAGAAUAUUAGCAGAUCUUCGUCAAGAACAAAACACUCCAACAAAAUUGUACUGUGAUAACAUGUCCACAAUUGCCAUGACAAAGAACCCAGUCUUUCAUAGCAGGUCAAAGCACAUAGAACUUCGUCAUCAUUUUAUCAGAAAAUUGGUUGAAGACGGAGAGAUUGAGCUGAAAUUUUGUGGUACUGAUGAGCAGAUUGCAGAUGUUUUUACAAAAGCACUUCCAAGAGAGAAGUUCUACUAUUUCAGAGAAAGGCUAAAUGUCGCAGGACAAAUGCAUUAAGAGGGAGUGUUAAACGUAAUACAUUUGUAUUAGUUGUUAAAGUAGAGUUGUGUCUCUUAAUGAAAAGUUAUGUUUAGGAAGAGUUGUAUCUCUUUAGAAGUUAAGAGUUAUGUCUGUAUAUGAAAGGGUCUGAGUGUUAUUAUAUAUAGCCAAUGAUAUAGGCUGCUGUAAUAUAUCAGAGAAGUUAAUAAAAAUCAGUUUGUCUAAUUCCCUAUUUUAGAAACACUCUCUGCCUCACUUUAUAUUUCCAUCAUACACUUCAGUUUUGUGAUCAUUCCUCCAACACACAAGCUCUUGAAAUUGGUCCUUUUCAAGCACCCACUGGCUUCCAAAUCCACAAAACACCACAGAUUCUGGUUCAAACCCAGAAAACCAAUUAGCCCAGAUGUCUUCUAAUUGUUCACUCUUCUUGUUUGUUCUUAUUAUUAGAGUCCAUUACGCCCAAAAUAGGGCCAGUUAAAAGCACAGGCUUUUUAUACUGUGCUUCCAGGUAAUCGCAAAAAACACCUUCCACUUCUCUGCAUGUUCUGAUGCACAUCACGUCACAUCCUUUCUUAGCGGUCAUGAGCCGCUCAUAAAAAGUGAUCCCAUCUCCAUAUGGCAUCGUAAUGAACAUCAAGGACUGGACUUCACGACCAGGAAGCAUUACCACAGUUGAUGAUGGGUACCCAGGAGGUGGGUCUCGUAGAUCUUCCUCAGUCACAGGCCUAUCUUUGGGCACGUUUCGUGCUGGCACAAUAGCCAUCGCAGUUAUCGCAGCACAAGCAACACCGUAGUUAAUGCACUUAAUUCCAAGCCCUCUUGUAAUUUCUGGUACCCAAUGAGCAAAGUCAUAGAAAAUCAUGUCGACUUUACGAUCAUUGGCACCACAACUUACUAGGAAGCCUUGUAUUUGCUGACGGGUGCGGUCCAUGGCAGUCGCUAGCAAGGGGGUCGAAGAUGUUGGGAUGUCAGAGGCAGUCUCAGUGCCCUCAGGGAGGCCUUCAAUGUGAGGAACAAUGACUGAACAAAAGGCAAUGAGGUGUGGGUGGAGGUUGAGAUGUUGAAGCUGAAUUUGAGCUUUUUUGGGCAGCAAGAAAGAGAUUCUAUGGCCUCUUGCUGCGAGCUCGUUAGAGAGGUGAAGGAAAGGGAUGGAGUGUCCCAUUGCAAACCAUGGGAACAUGGCUAUGUGAAAAUUUGAUGAGCUCGUCUCAUUGAGAUUAGGUUGUGCCAUUUGAUCAACUUUUGUG
rnacentral:lncRNA from 1 species